AGGACUCAGGGGGGGCAGCAGGAGACCCAGGAGAAGGAACAAGCAGAGUCCCCGAGGACGCAGCUCCAGCUCUCCCUUAGCUGGUGAGUGUCCAGGACGCGGCUGAAGCCCCUCAGUUGGAUUCAGAGAAUGAAGAGGAGGCUCCCCUCCCCCCUGCACAGCAAAGACACCAGCGAGUAUUGCAACAACGCUGUCGGUCUGGCCAUUUAAGACAAGCAAGUUUACCUUUAAGACAAGCUGAUUACCUGCACCUGUCUGAGGGAGUGGGAUUUAAAAGGCAGUUCAUGACUGCAGCAGACUGCUGACUACAACAUCAGUCGUGACCUCCACGUGAGACCCAGCUUCCAGAACCCAGACCCUCGGCUGAACUCUUGGCUCACUGGACCCAGCUUUCCCUCCUUGACUGCGCCUUUGGACACUGAUUUUGGUACAUGUGCUCGGAAUGACUCCUCUGACCUUCCCUCCUCCCGCUCCUGUUAUCUGCCCAGCCUUGGCAGAUUUACAGCCCAGCUAGCUGCCGGCUAAUGGGUUUACAGCCCAGCUAUCACCCCUCCGAAGCUGACACCCACAAGCUUUUCCCAGAUAGACAAGAGUUAAAUUUUAGAUUCCACUGCACACAUUGUUCAAAACAAUAUACAAAGCAGUUUAUGAACAAUUAGAUAUUUUAAGCUGCUUUUCUUAAUUUCCAAAGAACAGUUAUGUGGAGCCGCAUCUUAUGAGGGGGUUAUGUUCUAGGCAUAUUGUCAAAAUUACCUGCAUACAGUAGUAUUACUGACUAAUGGGCCAUUAUUCUCUGAUGAACAUCCAUGCCGCCUGCACCUAUAAAUCCCUCUCGGCAGACUACACUAAGCUGACCAGCUGAAAGUGGAAGAGUAAAUUCUGGGUUCACGCAGGAACCUCCACUCUACUUCCUGUUCUGUCUUAGAGCUGACCAGAAUUUAACAUCCCUUGAGCUUUGGUUCCGUGGCAGUAAUAGAUUUCUCUCUUCAAUCAUCCGAGGGGGGGUUACAGGUGCAAGCAUCAUGGAUUUUCAUAAAAGAAAAAUGGCCCCUUAGUAAUACCAUUUUUUAACCAAGUGCAUAUAGUUGAAUUUGUGCAAGUUAAAUGUGUGUACGACGCAACUCCACUGUACCCCUUUUUGGGGGGAAGGUGGUGGAGAGGGUGGUGAUGGAGCAACUUCAGCUAAAUGUGUCUCGAUAACACUGAUUAUCUGGAUCCACUUCAAUCUGGGUUUAGGCUUGGUUUCAGGUCUGAAUCAGAUGACCUGAAUCAGGAAAAGGAUGGAGAAGUUGCAACCAUGUUACUCUCACUCAAUCUCUCAGUAGCCUUUGAUACCACUGACCAUGGUAUCCUCCUGGAUUAACUGAGCUGGAUGGGUAUCAGAGGCACUGUAUUACAGUGGUUCUGUUCCUACCUACGUGGUCGAGUCCACAGAGUAAUCACAGUGUACCAGAGAGUACCAAAAACAUUUUUGAUGCUCUGGUACUUAUGCUAUGCAGUUCCGCAGGACAUUUUUUCCCCUCCAAUGUUAUUACUUUUAUAUGAAGCCAUUAGGAACAGUUAUUAGGAACUCUGGAGCACAGGGCUAUGAGUACACCGAUGACAUACAGCUGUUUCUCCAUAAUAUCUCAAUCAAGAAAUGCUGUGCAAGCCCUGGACCAGUGACUCAAUACAGUGGUGGACUGGCUGAAGGCCAAUAAACUGAGUUUGAACCCUGGGAACAUGGAGGUUCUGUGGGUAGGCCCAGGUAUGUAGCUUGGGGGUACUCCUGGAUACAUCUUAGAGGUCCAAGUGGCCUUGAUGGCUAGGAGUGUCUUUUACCAAGCUUUGUCUGGUAUGCCAGCCAUGGCCGUCUCUGAAUUGGGAUAACCUGGGCACCAUAGUCCACGCAUUGGUAACCUUGAGACUGGAUUACUGCAAUAUGCUGCAUGUGGAGCUGCCCUUCAGCCUAGUCCAAAAGCUCCAGCUGCUGCAGAAUGCAGCAGCUAGUCUACUGAUGGGGGCAGAUAGCAAACAGCUUAUGACACUUCUGCUAAAACAUCUACACUGCCCUGCCCAAACCUCCCAAAGUGAGAAAAGGACAUGAAGGUGUGCGUUUCUUUAAUAGGUUUAAUAGCAAAUUUCAGUUCAGAGUGCUUCAUGAAUCAGCCUAUAGGUUACACAAGACUCAGUAUCUCUACUAGGCAUAACUAGUCGCAACUAUACUGCACUGGAACACAGUCGCAGCAAUUAGACAUGCCCCCUUACAACCCUUAAGUAAGUGUAGGCACGCUUGUUAUACUUACAUGAGAAAAGUGUCACUAUCGGGAGCAUGCACACACAUGCACACUCCACCUCAGGGGAACUAUGGGAACCAACUGAGCCUGCUGAUGCUGUCGCCUAUAUGUCUAAAGAGAGGGUAGCAAAGACACUUCAGCAAGGUCCUCCUCCUCAGGAGGAGGGGAGCUCAGCGGCGUGAGCAAAGUAGAGGGGUGUGGAGAAGGUGAACAGUCCACCUCCGGAGUGCUCAGAGCCCCAUCGGUUGUAAUGGGAGCUAUGGGGGUGGAGCGGUUGUUGUCAGUGGCACUGAAGACAUCAGUCUCCACUAGGGUUGUCAGCUCUCCCAUUUUCGCCUGGAGACUCCGGAUUGUUGGGGUGCUCUCCAGGUCAGUCACUUUAAUCUCUAGAUUCUCAGCUUUCAUUUUUUAUAAAAUUAAGUUUCUAAGUGGUCUGGUUCAAGAUAUGUACACCAAAAUGGCAGCCCUCCCCCACAACUUCUGUUAAAUGAGCUGUAGCUAGCUACUCUAACCCUGCCCUUUCAUGUUUGUAGCCAAUAAGUGAAGUCGGGAUUGUGAUUUUGUUGAUCCUCCAGGCAGUAUCUAGACCCCAUUGCAAGACCAGAACACCAUUAUUUUUUCCUGUUAUCUGAAAAUCUCAUAAACUGAGUAAGUAUAUAGCUUUCAGUCUUUUUCUAUCUUGUGUGAAGGAGUCAAACAAGUUUAAAUUUUCCUGGGCUGUUGAAGAGAGUAGUGUUUUGAAAACCUUCCCAAUAUGAAGCUUUAAUCCAAUACUGGCUUUUCUGGGAGUAAAGCAGCAACGCUAAUCCCACAUACCUGGAGUAAACACCAUUGAAUACAAUAGGAUUUACUUUUGAGUAGACAUGGUUAGGAUUGUGCUAUAAAUUAAUGGGACUUUUGAGUGAACAUAGCAAAGAAUUGUGUUUGUGUUGUACAUCUUUCUCUUCCCCCCCAUUCACUCCUAUUUUUAAAGCAAUUAGGCAAAGCUGGCAGUUGCGGACAAGGAAUGGGCUGGCUUCUGCAGCUGUGGCAAGCUGAGCAGGCCCUAGCCGCCUGGGGAGGACUAGCCUCAGACGGAAGCAAUGGUAAACCCCCUCUGAAUACCGCUUACUAUUCACAGGGUAGCCAUAAAUCGGGAUCGACUUGAAGGCAGUCCAUUUCCAUUUACUGAGUAGAUCUGUAGCGCUCUUUCAGAAGCAUGCAAAUUGUUGUGCCAUCUCCCUCUGACUAAGCUUCACAACAAUCCUGUGACAUCAUCACUAUCAUACUCAUUUCACAGAUGAUGAUCUGGAAAAUGGAUAUAAAUACCUUGACUUCAAUUUGGCAGAGCCACUGAGAGCCAGAUAAAAAUGCUUAAAAGGGGUCGGUUUCAGAUAAUAGCAUUGGAUGAUUGUAUUUCAGCCCCGUGGCAGUUGUGCUGUGGAGUGCCACAGGAUGCCAUCAUGUCUUCAAUGCUGUUUAACACCUACAUGAAGCAAUUGGAAGCAGUCGUUAGGAGAUCUGAGAUGAGGUAUCAAGAGAGGAUAAUCCUUCCUACAGCAAUACUGAACACCCUGCUGGCUGUACAACCCUGGAAUCCCAGCUCCUGGCUCCCCAAGUCCAGCUGCCUCAGAACUUGAGUAAAACCAUUACUUCCAGGAUUCCCAGUACAUAAUCUGAAAAUUAAGAAUUAUUUGGGGGGAACAGAUACAGUAAAAGCAGCAUCCUGCCUUAGGAUACAAGAUCUGAUUAUAUCAUCUGCACAUUGGUUUCAGAUACAAUCCAGGAAGACACCUAGGGCAUCCACUUUCCUUCGUAGAUGAUGAUCAGGAAUCAUUCAAAUGCUGAAAAUCUCAUUAUUAUAAGUGGCUAGUCAACCUUUAUUAUGUUAUCAUGCAUUACUUUUUAUAUCUUAUUUUCCUUCCACGGAACUCAAGGCAGUGUAAAAUAAGUUCUUAUGUAAUCUUCCACCCAAGCACUGAAUAGGCUCAGAAUUACUUGGCUUCAACAGGGUUGAUGCAUUGUGUGCCUUCAGACAACACUCCAGACAUACUUUAAAGAAAAAUUCUAGGAAAAACACAUUCUAAACCUACACAGGCCUACACAGCAUGAGUGUUCUCAUCCAGAUGUGGAGCCAGCCAUACGCUACCAGGUGCUUCAUAAACUGUUGCUGCAUCUGAACAAGGUACAAGCAUGGGCUUUAUCAAGCACCUAGCAAGGCAGAACACAUGUCUGGCAUUUCAUGCAUUGCCCACGGGCACCAUGUUGUACAACCCAGUUCAGAAUUAACCACUACUGUCAUUUGAUUGGUAACUGAAAUUCUACAAUGAUACAACAUCGGGACAAUUAGAUACCUAAUAUAAAAUAAAAUACUUGCUAAGGAAAAUCGACUUCCCUCCCAGGCAUCCUCCUUCACACAAACCUUUCACAGCAAUGAAUUGUUUUGUCUAACUAACAUACCUUUUGGGAGCCUGUUAGGAUAGCUGGGAUCUCUCACACAUAAAUGAAAUCCUGUAUCCAACCACAGCGCAAGGUCUGUUUCCCACAAUUAAUUCAUGUCCUUAAUUUCAAUGAACUACCCUUUAUAUGCUCUCUGUUCUGUUAACACCCUGUCUUUAAUUCUCUUUAGAGGUUGCUGCCCACGUUAUACAAGAAGAGCGUGUUGUGGGAUCGGUUUCAGCUUAUGUAGUCUGAUGUGGACAAGGUGCCAGCAGCUAUAUGCUCAGUCAUGUACCCUUUUGAACCCUGUCCCUCUCAGCUUAUUAAAUCUAGCUGAGGGGGUUUGACGGGAAUUUGACUGGUUGGGUCCAGAGUAUUUUUAAUGCUUCAUUGCAUGAAGGGCUGGUUCCUGUUGCCUUGAAAGUCACGGUGGUGCUGCCCAGGCCUGCCCUUAGCAUGUGCAGGGCCCAGGGCAAAAGCAUAGUUGCCCCCCCCACAUUCUUUCUCUCUAUAAAUUAUAGAGAGAGAGAGAGAAAGAGAGAGAGAGAGAUUUUAUUUACAAAUAUAUGUAAUUAUAAUAUUUAAUUUACGUAUGAGGCUAACAACCUAUUAAAUACAAAUAUGAUUACCUUCACUUCAGGCAAUAGGCCUCUAGUCAACCUGUUCCAUAUCCAUUUCUCCACUGGUCUCUCGACAUCUGUCUUCCCUUUGUUGAUAUCUGCUAGAUAUGGCAGUCUAUUUCUAGGCAUAUUUUCCCAUCUUUAUCUUCCUAACUAAACAAUUGAACACACUUUGUGCAGAACCAUUGUUUUAAAUAUCGAGGAUGACAGAAUUUGAUCAUUUCUGUAAAUGUCUGGCUGCUUUGUUGAUGGGCAAUUACGUUCGGAUUAAAAUUAAAAUAAUACAAAUAUAAGAAACUAUAUAUUUAUUCUAAAAAAUUUAUUUUCCUUGCUUUCACUUCUGCGAAAUCAUUAAUCAACUUGUCAAAAUCUAGAUUUUCACACAAUUUAUGUUCUAUUGAUAAUAAAGUCAAAUUAGACAACCUUUCUUGAGACAUCGUAGAUCUUAAAUAAUUUUUCAACAAUUUCAGUUUAGAGAAACUUCGCUCUGCUGAUGCAGUGGUAACAGGAAUUGUCAAUAAAAUUCUUAAAACAAUAGUGAGAUUUGGAAAUGAAUCAUGAACCUUAGAAAUCAGGUUUAAACAUUGCAAUGUU